ACACGUAGGGUGCGAGCGUUGUCCGGAAUUACUGGGCGUAAAGAGCUCGUAGGUGGUUUGUCGCGUCGUCUGUGAAAUUCCGGGGCUUAACUCCGGGCGUGCAGGCGAUACGGGCAUAACUUGAGUACUGUAGGGGAGACUGGAAUUCCUGGUGUAGCGGUGAAAUGCGCAGAUAUCAGGAGGAACACCGGUGGCGAAGGCGGGUCUCUGGGCAGUAACUGACGCUGAGGAGCGAAAGCAUGGGUAGCGAACAGGAUUAGAUACCCUGGUAGUCCAUGCCGUAAACGGUGGGCGCUAGGUGUAGGGGUCUUCCACGACUUCUGUGCCGUAGCUAACGCAUUAAGCGCCCCGCCUGGGGAGUACGGCCGCAAGGCUAAAACUCAAAUGAAUCGACGGGG
rnacentral:rRNA from 1 species